UACGAGGGGGGCAAGCGUUGUUCGGAAUUAUUGGGCGUAAAGGGUGCGUAGGCGGUUUGUCACGUCUGCUGUGAAAACUGGAGGCUCAACCUCCAGCUUGCAGUGGGUACGGGCAGACUAGAGUGCGGUAGGGGAGAUUGGAAUUCCUGGUGUAGCGGUGGAAUGCGCAGAUAUCAGGAGGAACACCAAUGGCGAAGGCAGAUCUCUGGGCCGUAACUGACGCUGAGGAGCGAAAGCAUGGGGAGCGAACAGG
rnacentral:rRNA from 1 species